CCUACGGGAGGCAGCAGUGGGGAAUAUUGCACAAUGGGCGAAAGCCUGAUGCAGCGACGCCGCGUGAGGGAUGACGGCCUUCGGGUUGUAAACCUCUUUCAGCAGGGAAGAAGCGAGAGUGACGGUACCUGCAGAAGAAGCGCCGGCUAACUACGUGCCAGCAGCCGCGGUAAUACGUAGGGCGCAAGCGUUGUCCGGAAUUAUUGGGCGUAAAGAGCUCGUAGGCGGCUUGUUGCGUCGGUUGUGAAAGCCCGGGGCUUAACCCCGGGUCUGCAGUCGAUACGGGCAGGCUAGAGUGUGGUAGGGGAGAUCGGAAUUCCUGGUGUAGCGGUGAAAUGCGCAGAUAUCAGGAGGAACACCGGUGGCGAAGGCGGAUCUCUGGGCCAUUACUGACGCUGAGGAGCGAAAGCGUGGGGAGCGAACAGGAUUAGAUACCCUGGUAGUCCACGCCGUAAACGUUGGGAACUAGGUGUUGGCGACAUCACGUCGUCGGUGCGCNGCUACGCAUUAACGUUCCCGUCCGUCGGGUAGGUACGGCCGGCGACGGACGUAAACCUACGAAGGAAGUUAGACGGCGUGAGACGUGCCGACGGCGACGACGAGGGAGGUAGG
rnacentral:rRNA from 1 species